UGGGGAAUAUUGGACAAUGGGCGAAAGCCUGAUCCAGCCAUGCCGCGUGUGUGAAGAAGGUCUUCGGAUUGUAAAGCACUUUAAGUUGGGAGGAAGGGUUGUAGAUUAAUACUCUGCAAUUUUGACGUUACCGACAGAAUAAGCACCGGCUAACUCUGUGCCAGCAGCCGCGGUAAUACAGAGGGUGCAAGCGUUAAUCGGAAUUACUGGGCGUAAAGCGCGCGUAGGUGGUUAGUUAAGUUGGAUGUGAAAUCCCCGGGCUCAACCUGGGAACUGCAUUCAAAACUGAUUGACUAGAGUAUGGUAGAGGGUGGUGGAAUUUCCUGUGUAGCGGUGAAAUGCGUAGAUAU
rnacentral:rRNA from 1 species